rnacentral:rRNA from 1 species
AUUUCCUACGGGAGGCCGCAGUGAGGAAUAUUGGUCAAUGGGAGCGAUCCUGCCCCCGCCCCGCCUCUUUCUGGAAGACGGCCCUAUGGGUUGUAAACCUCUUUUGUCGGAGAACAAAACCCGGGACGUGUCCCGGACUGCGUGUAUCCGAAGAAAAAGCAUCGGCUAACACCGUGCCAGCAGCCGCGGUAAUACGGAGGAUGCGAGCGUUAUCCGGAUUUAUUGGGUUUAAAGGGUGCGUAGGCGGUCCGUUAGGUCAGCGGUAACAUUGCGGGGCUAAACCCCGUCGAGCCGUUGAAACUGGG